GCAUGCGGUGCUGGCGUGAAGUAGCCCUGGCACGGAGUGGCUCCAGGGUCACCCCAAGUGGCACGUUGCCAAUUUACCUAGGAUCUGUUGAACAGGCUCUUCCAACCUGCCUGUCCCAUUCCAGGCAACCAAGCUCCUUAAUGUCGCAGUCCCUCACGGCUCUGGGCACCCCGCCGUGUGCUGCAGGUAAACAGACAUGUCCAUGCAGUGCAGCCAUGUUGCUCAGCGCGUGGUCGUGUCAGCGGGUGGUCCUGUGCCCGCGCAGGUGCUGCCUGCAGUACCGCCCGGUGGCUAGCAGAGGGCAGUAGAGACCGCGGAGCUGUCGUGGGGGAAGGCGGGGGGGGCGUGAGAACUGCUCCGUGGCUCUGCGAGUUGACAGCAGAAAUCGUACAAUGAAGCGGGAAGCGAGCAGGAAAAUGCAUCAUGCCGGACUGAUGGGGGGAAAAAAGCACUGCUGCCUGCUCACCUGCUGAUCCUUGCCUGGAUGCUGCUUGAGCAAUGGAAAGCUACGCGUCCCGUAAUGCCCCGGAACCCAGCUUCGGUGACUGGUUGGCCAAAAAGUGACAUGGCUAUAAACAGAGGAAGGCAUAUUGAAUCCAUUUGGAUUACUUAUGUGCACACAAGGACCAAAUUCAAUCAGUGCCCAGGAUGUAUCAAGCCAGAAGGCGUUACGGGGAUCACCUGCAGUAUUUCAUAGACCAUGCUUGAUCCUGCACUACUCUACCAAGCAAGUCUCUGAAGGGGUCAAAGUCUGCUCUCCUGAAGUCCAGGGAAGUGAACUU